ACUCAGGUGUUGUUGGGUAGGGGAGCGUUCUGUAAGCCUGCGAAGGUGGCCUGUGAGGGUUGCUGGAGGUAUCAGAAGUGCGAAUGCUGACAUAAGUAACGAUAAAGCGGGUGAAAAGCCCGCUCGCCGGAAGACCAAGGGUUCCUGUCCAACGUUAAUCGGGGCAGGGUGAGUCGACCCCUAAGGCGAGGCCGAAAGGCGUAGUCGAUGGGAAACGGGUUAAUAUUCCCGUACUUGGUGUUACUGCGAAGGGGGGACGGAGAAGGCUAUGUUGGCCGGGCGACGGUUGUCCCGGUUUAAGCGUGUAGGUGUGUGUUCCAGGUAAAUCCGGUUCACUUUAACACUGAGGCGUGACGACGAGGCACUACGGUGCUGAAGCAACAAAUGCCCUGCUUCCAGGAAAAGCCUCUAAGCAUCAGGUAACAUCAAAUCGUACCCCAAACCGACACAGGUGGUCAGGUAGAGAAUACCAAGGCGCUUGAGAGAACUCGGGUGAAGGAACUAGGCAAAAUGGUGCCGUAACUUCGGGAGAAGGCACGCUGACA
rnacentral:rRNA from 1 species